UUCGGCUUGUGGCCGACAGUUUCUUUAGAGUUCCGUCUUGCGACAUGGCAACUAAAGAUAAGGGUUGCGCUCGUUGCGGGACUUAACCCAAUAUCUCACGACACGAGCUGACGACAGCCAUGCAGCACCUAUACAGCGGCCCUUGCGGGCACCGGACUUUCAUCCGACUUCCACUGCAUUUCGAGCCCAGGUAAGGUUCUUCGCGUUGCGUCGAAUUAAACCACAUGCUCCACCGCUUGUGCGGGCCCCCGUCAAUUCAUUUGAGUUUUGACCUUGCGGCCGUACUCCCCAGGCGGUCAACUUAAUGCGUUAGCUGCGCCACUAAGAGCUCAAGGCUCCCAACGGCUAGUUGACAUCGUUUACGGCGUGGACUAC
rnacentral:misc_RNA from 1 species